rnacentral:lncRNA from 1 species
GAUUCAAAUGUCAAUCUUGUCUGGAAACACCAUCAUAGACAUAUGCAGAACUCCUGAUUAACCAAAUAUCUGGGUAUCCCUUGACCCAGUCAAGCUGAUACAUUAAAUAAACUGUCAUGGUGCCUAUGGCCAGGAUAGCCGGACUGAAUACAGAGCCUCUAAUCUCAGAAUCUGUUCAUAAUGUCACCUUAUAAGCAGUGGAAAUUGUGUAACAGAUAAAGUUUAGCUAAGAAGACAACUGGUUCUGCAAAUAAUGUUCAUGGCAGACAAUCUAUUUACAAUGCAAAACACCAAUCUAAUAAAAAAUAUUACUGUGGCCAAAAUAAAAUGAAGCAAACGUUAAUAAUAAUCAGGACAAACUCUGAAGGUGACUCACAUUGAAUCUCCAGAGGAGAUUUUCAGUGAGCUGGCUAAGCCUGUCCCCCAUUUAAGUAUGUGAUUUUGAAUGCUUGCUUUUGCUAAGCACAUUUGUAAAUAAAUAUAUGUAGAAGUCAUGGAUCCUGACUCAAGAAGCUUACAGGAGAAUAUGACUAACAUGACAUAUACAUAAAUAAUUUAAAUAUACAAGUAGAUUGUGAUGGUUAAUAUUGAGUAUCAACUUAAUUGGAUUGAAGGAUGCAGGAAUUGUUUCUGGGUCUGUCUGUGAGGGUGCUGUUGAAGGAGAUUAAAAUUUGAGUGAGUGAACUGGGAAGGGCAGACCCACCCUCAAUCUGAGUCGGCACAAUCUAAUCAGCUGCCAGUGCGGCCAGAAUAAAAGCAGCCAGAAGAAUGUGAAAAGACUAUACUGGCUUAGCCUCCAAGCCUACAUCUUUCUCCUGUGCUGAAUGCUUCCUGCCCUCAAACAUCAGGCUCCAAGUUCUUCAGCUUUGCUAAUCUGACUGCCUUCCUCGCUCCUCAGCUUGCAAACGGACUAUUGUGGAGACUCACUUUGUGACAAUGAUAAUGCUAGAAAUGAUUUCAAUUGCUCCAUUAUCAGACUGAUGAAUGACUGAACAAUGAUUAUGGUCUCCCACACUCAUUCUCAGGUUCCUGCCUGGAACAUAAAUGGAAGAUUGGAGCUAGAGCUUCCAUCUUAUAAUGGAGAAUACUUCUCCCUUCCUGGAUUUGAAGAAGCGAGUAGUCUUGUUAAAAAGGCCCAUGUGGCGAAGAAGUGA